rnacentral:rRNA from 1 species
AUACGGAGGGUGCAAGCGUUAUCCGGAAUCACUGGGUUUAAAGGGUGCGUAGGCGGCUAAAUAAGUCAGAGGUGAAAUCUUCCUGCUUAACGGGAAAAUUGCCUUUGAAACUGUAUAGCUUGAAUUAAGUUGAGGUUAGCGGAAUGUGACAUGUAGCGGUGAAAUGCAUAGAUAUGUCAUAGAACACCAAAUGCGAAGGCAGCUGGCUAGGCUUAUAUUGACGCUGAGGCACGAAAGCGUGGGGAGCGAACAGGAUUAGAAACCCUUGUAGUCC